CUGUCAAGUGUCCUGUAUCUGGAAUCAUCAAGCAGAGAAAAAUUCAAGGACAAGAUUGCUUGGAGGUUUCCUAGGAAGAAAUGCAUGGGUGGGCUUAACACCUCAAUAGUUCCAGCUGAUCUCAUUGAGAGGAUCCUUGGCGAGCAAGUGCAAAUUGCUCGUGAAAAUAGCACUAAUGUCAUGCUGUACAAAAUUGCUUUGUCCAUUAUUUAGAUGGAUGAACUCGUGCACAAAGCUAAAUUGUACAAGACUAAUUGGCGCUAUAAGCAUUUUUGGAAGUAUUAUAUAUUUUUAGAUAGAUGUAUAUGGAAUAUAUUUCGAUAGACUAGUAGUUAUAUUUUUUGAUGGGUGUAUAUGGAAAUAUUUGGAUAGACUAGUUGUAUUUUUUGAUAGAUGUGCAUGGAUAAAAGUUUAAAUUGAAAGAAUAUGUACUUUGGAAUUACUUGUGGAUGGAAACUUAUAAUAGUUGCUGAUUUUUAUUAAACAGGUUAAAGAUUUGAUGAUUUAUGUAUUUCGUUGAAUGUUCAUGAUUUAGAUACUUUGUUGGUAUGAA